CCAUCCCCCUCCCUUCCCCCCUCGUUUAGAGACCUUCCGAGGCUCCCUAGAGCCCCGGCGUAGGAUACAUUGUAUCCCUGUGCUGACUUCCUCUGCGCGCCUCCCUCCUGCUGUGAACGUUGUGCCAAAGCCUGGGGGCGGGAGAUGGAGGGCGGAUGGGGAAUUUGAACACAAGUCUUCCUUAAUCCGGUGCUGCCUUUCGGGCCCGUGCCCAUUACCCCGGGUCUGCUCCUGAAUAUGGCAUCUUCCAGUGAGCAGGAGCCCAGAGGCAUGUUUGAAUGCCAGUUGUGUGGCCUGACUGUACCAUACAGCUACGUGGGGCAGAAACCUCCCAACACCAGGACUGUCGUACUCCUGGAGGAAUGCUACGUGUUGAAGGACCCCUUCAGCUCAGACAAAGACAAAUUCCUGAUCCUUGGUUCCCAGUGUAGCCUCUGCAGCAAGCUGGUGUGCGUGGGCCCGGAGUGUAGUUUAUUCUACUCGAAGAGGUUUUGCCUCCCUUGUGUUCGUGAGAAUCUCAGUGCUUUCCCUCAGGAGAUACGGCAAGAUGUGGAGAAGAGACAUGCUCUGUCCAAAACUGGCUCUAGGAAGCUUGCCUCGAGGACCUGAUCGUAGGGUCCUGGCAAGAACAAGGCCCUGGCUGCCCCUUGCUGUCGUGACCCUUUUCUCCCAUCUUGUUCCUGUGAGCAGAGGACCUGAGGGGACCUUCCAUUGACCAUCAUUGUGGCUUCUGAAGGGCGCUGGAGGUAUCCAGGGGGCCAAGCCACCCUUACGGGAUGUCUCUCACAUUGCUGUGGUCACUAUUUCCAACUCUGGAAAUCAGAGGAAUUCUGGCUUCAGCUGAUCUGAGCCAGGGCCAGGCCCAUUGACAGGGGCCUCUCAGCAGGGGCAGGGCCCUGCCUUCGAGGCUUGGAUGUCUUUUGGCUUACCGAGAGGAGAGGCUUGUGCUGGGAGUGGAUCUGACCUAUUUUAAACUGGCCCUGUUUUUAAAAGUUAGAAGGAAAGAGAAUGACACGUUUUGCCUGAUUUAAGGGACCGGAUUUAAGUCUAAUCUCAAGUGCCUUAUGCCAGCUGCUGAGUUAAGGGGACUUUGAGGAUUACAGGGAAAAGAGAACCAGGCUUUGAUCCAAUUUCUGUCCAGUAGGUGGUAGUUAACA